CCUCACUACCCAACAUUGAGCACGUUAUUUUACAUUAUAAAAUGAUCAAACAAUUAGUUGUUCAUUACAUGUAAAGGAGAAAAAACAUGGCAAGAAUUCUCAAGUUUGUUAAUGUCUUCUUCCUCUUUUUUCUACUAUUUCUUGUUGUAUGCAAUGCAUUUUAUGUAUGCAUAAAUGACCAAGAUUGUCCAGAUUCUUCUUGCGCUCUUACUGAAGAUAAGAUGUGCAGUUGGAUUGUGUGUUCAUGCAUGCGGAAAUUAUGAAAAAUGGUUUUAUUUUUAAAUGUGAGGCUCUAGUUGUGCUUGGUUCAAAUAUCAUGAAGGACGUUUAAUUGGCUUAAUGGAAUUGGUGGUUUAUAUGUUCAAAUAAUUAUUAUGAUGUAGAUUUUCAUAUUACUUGCAAGACCUAUGUCGUACAAUAACUUUUGUGUUGUUUCUAGUUUACAUUCUGUAUUUUAUGAAAAUUGCUGUAA